rnacentral:rRNA from 1 species
CACUCCUGCGGGAGGCAGCAGUGGGGAAUUUUGGACAAUGGGCGAAAGCCUGAUCCAGCCAUGCCGCGUGCAGGAUGAAGGCCUUCGGGUUGUAAACUGCUUUUGUACGGAACGAAACGGCAUUUUCUAAUAAAGAGGGCUAAUGACGGUACCGUAAGAAUAAGCACCGGCUAACUACGUGCCAGCAGCCGCGGUAAUACGUAGGGUGCAAGCGUUAAUCGGAAUUACUGGGCGUAAAGCGUGCGCAGGCGGUUAUGUAAGACAGUUGUGAAAUCCCCGGGCUCAACCUGGGAACUGCAUCUGUGACUGCAUAGCUAGAGUACGGUAGAGGGGGAUGGAAUUCCGCGUGUAGCAGUGAAAUGCGUAGAUAUGCGGAGGAACACCGAUGGCGAAGGCAAUCCCCUGGACCUGUACUGACGCUCAUGCACGAAAGCGUGGGGAGCAAACAGGAUUAGAAACCCCUGUAGUCCC